ACCGUGUGUGGUCUGAGUAUAAAAAUGGAUUUGGGGAACCGGAAGGGAAUCUUUGGAUAGGAAAUGACGUAAUCCAUCAGUUAACAAAGGGAAGGAACUCGUCCCUCAACGUUUCGAUUACAUUAGUGAAUGGCAGCAGCUUGUAUGCGUUGUAUGACAGAUUUUCUGUUUCCACUGAAGCAGACAAGUAUAAACUCUUCUUAGAGGGGUAUUUGGGGGGAACAUUAGGUGACGGUAUGGUAGACACCGGGUAUGCUGGUCGAGAUCUCUCUGGGGUUUAUUUUUCUACGCCAGACCGAGAUUAUGACAGGUUCUUAAGAGGAAGCUGUGCUAACAUCUGCAAAGGAGGCUGGUGGUUUAACAAUUGUUACAAUGCCUUUCUUAAUGGUCCCUGGGACCCAGGAUACUGGACAAAACCAUGGUCUCCUGCAGUUAUAUACGGGGCCUCUGUCAAGAAGACAACCAUAAUGGUCAGGCGUCAUUAGGUUGGAACAUAACAAAGUGU